UUGGAGUCCGAACUCUCACUUUCUAACCCUGUGCACUUGUUUGGGAUAGUAACUCUCGCAAGAGAGCGAACUCCUAUUCACUUAUAAACACAAAGUCUAUGAAUGUAUUAAAUUUUAUAACAAAAUAAAACUUUCAACAACGGAUCUCUUGGCUCUCGCAUCGAUGAAGAACGCAGCGAAAUGCGAUAAGUAAUGUGAAUUGCAGAAUUCAGUGAAUCAUCGAAUCUUUGAACGCACCUUGCGCUCCAUGGUAUUCCGUGGAGCAUGCCUGUUUGAGUGUCAUGAAUACUUCAACCCUCCUCUUUCUUAAUGAUUGAAGAGGUGUUUGGUUUCUGAGCGCUGCUGGCCUUUACGGUCUAGCUCGUUCGUAAUGCAUUAGCAUCCGCAAUCGAACUUCGGAUUGACUUGGCGUAAUAGACUAUUCGCUGAGGAAUUCUAGUCUUCGGACUAGAGCCGGGUUGGGUUAAAGGAAGCUUCUAAUCAGAAUGACAUUUUAAGAU
rnacentral:sRNA from 1 species